rnacentral:rRNA from 1 species
UGCGUAGGCGGGUCUUUAAGUCAGGGUGAAAUCCUGGAGCUCAACUCCAGAACUGCCUUUGAUACUGAGGAUCUUGAGUUCGGGAGAGGUGAGUGGAACAGCGAGUGUAGAGGUGAAAUUCGUAGAUAUUCGCAAGAACACCAGUGGCGAAGGCGGCUCACUGGCCCGAUACUGACGCUGAGGCACGAAAGCUGGGGAGCAAACA